rnacentral:lncRNA from 1 species
CCCCUUACACAAAAUAAUUCCCAAUAAGCCCAAACUACACAAAUAAAGUCCAACAAUAAUAAAAUUGCAAGCAAACCCAAAAGUAAAAGAAAAUAAAAUAACAAAUAAAAUUGGGGACUAAACGGCAGAGUGGUCAGCUCUGAUGUCCCCAUCAGAUUCUUUUUUCUAUCUUUUUCCUUUUUGAGCCAGAAAGUUAAUUCUAAUGCUUCAUGGGUUUAUGCUCUUGUUUAGUUUGUUUGCCAUGUGAGCCCUCGUCGAGC